AUGAACGCUGGCGGCGUGCCUAAUCCAUGCAAGUCGAGCGAACGGACGAGAAGCUUGCUUCUCUGAUGUUAGCGGCGGACGGGUGAGUAACACGUGGAUAACCUACCUAUAAGACUGGGAUAACUUCGGGAAACCGGAGCUAAUACCGGAUAAUAUUUUGAACCGCAUGGUUCAAAAGUGAAAGACGGUCUUGCUGUCACUUAUAGAUGGAUCCGCGCUGCAUUAGCUAGUUGGUAAGGUAACGGCUUACCAAGGCAACGAUGCAUAGCCGACCUGAGAGGGUGAUCUGCCACACUGGAACUGAGACACGGUCCAGACUCCUACGGGAGGCAGCAGUAGGGAAUCUUCCGCAAUGGGCGAAAGCCUGACGGAGCAACGCCGCGUGAGUGAUGAAGGUCUUCGGAUCGUAAAACUCUGUUAUUAGGGAAGAACAUAUGUGUAAGUAACUGUGCACAUCUUGACGGUACCUAAUCAGAAAGCCACGGCUAACUACGUG
rnacentral:rRNA from 1 species